UUUCUAUGAUGAAAUAAGGGAUGUUUAUGAUGUCUGAAAACUUAGUGACGAUCUAAUCCUACUGCCUUCCUUCUGAGAAU